rnacentral:rRNA from 1 species
GAUGAACGCUAGCGAUAGGCUUAACACAUGCAAGUCGAGUGGCAGCAUGGUCUUAGCUUGCUAAGACUGAUGGCGACCGGCGCACGGGUGCGUAACGCGUAUGCAACUUGCCUCACAGAGGGGGAUAACCCGUCGAAAGACGGACUAAUACCGCGUACACUCCAUCUUGGGCAUCCAAGGUAGAGGAAAUGAAAUUCGCUGUGAGAUAGGCAUGCGUCCCAUUAGCUAGUUGGUGAGUUAACGGCUCACCAAGGCGACGAUGGGUAGGGGAACUGAGAGGUUGAACCCCCACACUGGUACGGAGACACGGACCAGACGCCUACGGGAGGCAGCAGUGAGGAAUAUUGGUCAAUGGGCGAGAGCCUGAACCAGCAAAGUCGCGUGAAGGAUGACUGUCUUAUGGAUUGUAAACUUCUUUUAUACGGGAAUAACAAGAGUCACGUGUGACUCCCUGCAUGUACCGUAUGAAUAAGCAUCGGCUAACUCCGUG